rnacentral:lncRNA from 1 species
ACUAAUAAAUAAAGAUUGUACUUUAGUAAGCAAUAUCGUGUUCGGAUGGCAUACUAAACUAGGGCAUGGGGUAGUAUCGUCUCUACCAUCGAACCCUAAGUAACCUAGUCCUAUAUACAAUCAUGAUACUAUCUCUAUAUAAAAUAGGAAAUACAAAGUGAGUAUACAUAGAAAAGUGGAACGCAAGCUUCGUUCAAUUAGCGUCUCGAAAUCUCCCAUCGCCAAAACCAAAGCGAUGUUAUUUGUGAUUGGAUGACAAUCCCAUAUAACAAUCAUAGUUCCCGUCGUCAGCCUAAAAUCCAGACUUGUCUACCUAGCAACGCAAGGAAGGAACUGAUAAGGAGGCAAGGUAUCUUGAUCAGGAUCAUUAUUGAAAGCAGUACAAAACGAAACAGUUUGCUGCGAAAGUGAGUCAAAAUAGAUCUUGUCUCAGGUGCUACCUUGAUGAGACUUGAGUGUUUGGUGAAAUUGGGAAGCUAUAAACCAUGAUCUCGAGGUUCAAAGGUCAUAGAUUUGGUCUUGACAAAGACUCAAGUGUCAAUUUGGUCUCCGAUUAACCCUCACACCCUAACACACGUCCGUGGCGAGCUCUCUAGCCAUCUGGACUGUUUGCAAUAUUGAAGGCUUGAAGUAUUGUUGUUUAAGGCGACAUAGCGACAACCGGAAAUUUUUGUUGCGACCAGGCAGCGGAAAAAAAUUUGCUUAAUUCCGAUUGGUCGACCGUCAUACCUAAAGAGGAAAACUCUCUAGUGUUAGGACCUUGCCCUAACCACGUACACUAACUAGGCCUGGAUUUGUAGUUAUGAGAGCAAGAACGGGAUCUAGAGACGGAUUUGAAUGGGAGCGCGUACGCAACUAGGCACGGAUUUAUACGGAAUCACACACGCCAACUCGGUAGAGAUUCGCUUACAAGUACACACGCCACCUAGUCUUAGAUUUGCAUAUAAGCAUAUACACCAACAUACGCUAGCUAGGCACCAAUUUAUAUA